GCUAGUAAUCGCGAAUCAGAAUGUCGCGGUGAAUACGUUCCCGGGUCUUGUACACACCGCCCGUCACACCACGAGAGUUUACAACACCCGAAGUCAGUGGCCUAACCGCAAGGAAGGAGCUGCCUAAGGUGGGUAGAUGAUUGGGGUGAAGUCGUAACAAGGUACC
rnacentral:rRNA from 1 species